GGCUGAGAACAAGAUAGCUCAGUUGGUAGAGCAUGAGACUCUUACUCUUAGGGUCGUGGGUUAGAGCCCCACAUCGGGCA